AUUGAACGCUGGCGGCAUGCCUUACACAUGCAAGUCGAACGGCAUCGCGGGAAAGCUUGCUUUCCUGGCGGCGAGUGGCGAACGGGUGAGUAACACAUCGGAACGUACCGGCUAGUGGGGGAUAACCCGUCGAAAGACGGGCUAAUACCGCAUACGCUCUUCGGAGGAAAGCAGGGGACCUUUGGGCCUUGCGCUAGCCGAGCGGCCGAUGUCCGAUUAGCUAGUUGGUGGGGUAAAGGCCUACCAAGGCGACGAUCGGUAGCGGGUCUGAGAGGACGAUCCGCCACACUGGGACUGAGACACGGCCCAGACUCCUACGGGAGGCAGCAGUGGGGAAUCUUGGACAAUGGGGGCAACCCUGAUCCAGCAAUGCCGCGGGGGUGAAGAAGGCCUUCGGGUUGUAAAGCCCUUUCGGCAGGGAAGAAAUCGGCGGGGCGAAUAACCCUGCUGGAUGACGGUACCUGCAGAAGAAGCACCGGCUAACUACGUG
rnacentral:rRNA from 1 species